rnacentral:rRNA from 1 species
GACGUAGGGGCCAGCGUUGUUCGGAAUUACUGGGUGUAAAGGGUUCGUAGGCGGUGCGGCAAGUCGGGAGUGAAAUCUCUGGGCUUAACCCAGAGGCUGCUUCCGAAACUGCUGUGCUUGAGUGUGGGAGAGGCGCGUGGAAUUGCAGGUGUAGCGGUGAAAUGCGUAGAUAUCUGCAGGAACACCCGUGGCGAAAGCGGCGCGCUGGACCACUACUGACGCUGAGGAACGAAAGCUAGGGAGCAAACAGG